CUUCCGAUCCUCUUCGAUCUCCUUUAAAUUUCUUAGGGUUCAAUCAAUCUUGAUUGAUCGUGGUUCCACCUGCAGGCUCCGGGUUCGUAUCAAAGUCGGCUUACCACCAUGGAUUCUUCAGUGCUUCCAUCAAGCUGCCCGACGAUGACACCGCCGGUGUCGUCGUCGCCUUCUAUGUAAGUUGCUUCUUGUCUCCAAAUUCCAUCGAUAUCUCGCUCUAGAUGCUUAUUAUGUGGUUGAUGUCAAAGAUUAACUGCAUGGGGCAUCAAGCAAAAGUUCAGGAAUGAACCACUUGCUUGCUCCUCGAUGUUAGUUUCUUAAUUUCUUCAUGCAUACAUAGUCCAAGGUUUUAUGUGGAAUUUGGGGAGGACUCUAGUCCUUAUGAAAACUAUAAAUUCUGUGUUUUUUUUUAAAAAAAUUCAAAAUAAAGACUUCUUCCAUCCAUAUACACAAAUUUCUAGAUUCCCCAAUAAAGAAAUAAAUGUGUAGACAAUAGUGUGUUGAUAUAGAUGUGCACACCCGGCCACUUAAUUGCUCGUCUUUCUUCCUUUCGGUCUGCCCAUGAAUGAAUUGAUCAUCAUAUCAGCCAUAGAAUUUGGCCAUGGCACGAAGCGUGCGCCGUGCCUACACAAGUUGGUUACUGGAAAGUACCCUAGCUAGAACGCAUGGAAAGAAAAGAGUGGUUGCAAAAAACCUACCCAGUUGUUUUUUUUUUCUUUCGUUUUUUUUGUGACAACCCAAAAGGUCUAUCCACGCCUACCUUUUAGAAGUUUCCUAUACGCACGGUCCUAACGAGAAAUGCUUGACAUCCUUUUCAUUUCGUUCUCUCGAAGCAUUGGACUAGACCUUCUCGACCUUAAUCCCUUUUUUCCUUUAUACAUAUGCUUUCUCUGUCCUUAACAACUUCAAUUCCUAGAAUCGGUGUUAGUCAAAAUUUUUUAAGUUUGACCAACUUUAUAGAAAAGAGUAUCAAUAUCUAUGACAUAAAAUGAGUAUCUUAUAAAAAAUAUAUUCUAUAAUAAAUCUAAUGGUACUAAUUUGGUGUCAUAAAUCUUAGUGUUUUUUUAGAAAUUUAAUUAAAUUUAAAAUUUUUGACUUAAGAUAAUUCUAGAAAAGCUUUAAGAGCCAAAAUGAGUACACACGACGGACCCACAAAUCUGCUAAAACCCGGGCUGAACCAUGUAAUAGAUGACUAAAUUAUUUUUCCCUUUAAUUUUUAUAGCUGAUGAAGUAAGUUUAUAUAGAGUUUUAUAGCCAAGGGUCAGGGCUAUAACACGGAUAGUCCUUCCCCGAGAAGCCAUUUUUUUCUAGCUUUCCUAGCUUCCAAUUUAACUUUUUAGAGCAGAAAGGUUAAAGAAGAUGGAUAACUGACUUGUUACUACAGCGUACUCCCUCUGUCCCGAAAAAUAAGUGACGUCUUUUACUUACAUUUGUGUUGACUGUUUGUCUUUUUCAAAAAAUUUAAAUGAAUUAUAAAAUAAAUAAAUUAUUAUUAAAGUAUAUCUAAUAAUAAAAUAAGUCAAAAAAUAGAUAAUAUUUAUACAAAAUGUUAAAUGAAACAAACUGUAAAACAAGAUGUCUAGAAGUAAAAAAAGUGACUUAUUUUAGGAUGAAGAGAGUAUAAUAUUUUUUUUCUUAGAAAACAAAGCCGUUUUAUAUGAAGAGAAAGUCCUCGCAUACUCUUUAUUUUGAUACUGUUGCCCCACCUGCCCACCCGGCAAGAUGGAUGUAACGGAUUGGCCAUUAUCUGUAUGUCGACGUGUCAUGUAUCUUAUUUCCUCUUAGCUUUAAUUUGGUACUCCUAGCUCCUAAACUACAAGUGCUUCGCUGCCUUGUAUGGCUCAUUAGUGGUCGAUGGUUAGUUAUGAGUAGUGGUUGCAGAUCGAAAGCAAAAGCAUCCAUUAAAGAUGACGGCCAUUACAUUUGCUAGCUAGCUUAACUGUAGUAGGCGUGGUGGACAUGGUAGGAGGCAUGUACCUGUCACGCACUAACGGUCUCACGCAUGUACAUUACCUUGAGACAGAACAAAGACGAAAUGGCCGGCGCUUACAAAAUUUCUAGCCGCGCAUCGCAUCAUUAUCAUCGUUCUUAAAGCUACGAGACACGUGUCAAGUCUUGCUGAUGCACUAAGGACAUGCUCAAUGCAAAUUACAAAUAGCUAGUUAUUUGUGUGAGAACAUUCUAGAUUAACUAUUUAAAAGUCGCUACCUAUUUAAUCUCUCUCUUUGAUAAAGUUCUUGUUAGACUAGCUAUUUGGAAACUAUUGAAGACAGUAGGCAAGUUUCUCAUUGUUUUUCUUUUUUUACUAGUGCAGACAUAAUCCUGGAUAUGCUUUGUGUUUCUUUGUCAUUGAUUCAGUCUUAACAAGCUUUCUUAGUUGGUUUAAAAACUCCUUUCGUUUCAAAAUUGUAAUCAUGUUUUAACUUUUCUAAUAGAUACAUCUUUUACUAUGGCCCUGUUUGGUUCCACCAACUAAAUUUUAGCUAGCUAAAAUUAUUUUAGCUACUCUUGGGUGACUAAUGGAACUAAACUAUUUUAGCUUCUUUUAGUCAAUGUGUUUGGAACUUUAGCUACUAAGAGCAUCUCCAAGAGAUUAGCUAAAUCAUUUUCUAAAGGACAAUUUAGCUGUUGUUAAAGGAAAAACGUUUCCAACAGACUCUGUAAAUGACUCUUCAAAUUUAGUAGCUCUCUAUCCCACCUUAUUUGCUCUCUACUUUUGGAUAGCCUACCUCACUAACCAUCCUUUUACAGAGUCUGUUGGAGUACUCUAAUAUUUUUUGUCAAAUCUAUUUUAGAGAGUAGCUAAAUCAGUAAAUUUGGCUAGUGUUUUUGGCUAAUCUCUUGGAGAUGCUCUAAAGUGACUAAAAUUUAGCUAGCUAAAAUUUAGUUGGUGGAACCAAACAGGGCCUAUGUAUCUACAAGGUCAAAAGUGUAUUUAAGAGGUAGUCAGGCACACCAACGAUGGAAAACCCCUCUAUGACGAACCAAAUAAUUAUUCAAAUUAUUUCUCCAUGAAUUUUCCACCGUGGGAUAAAGUCAGGGAUCCCAAGAGUAUGUGAGCAUCCAAAAUAGCCAAACGUAAUAACAAACUACAAUAAUAGCUACUUGCGUUAUACAUAUAAAGUACUAUAGAAAUCAUAUUUUUAAUAAACUUUUACUACUAAAUAUAGCCGCACUGUUUUUCCUGUUGCAUAUGUAAAACAAGCGGUAUAAAAAACAUACUUAAACCUACUUUUACAUAUGUAUUAUUUUUUAUAGCUUCAAUAAACAUAACACUAUUAAUUUUAAUGUAAUACCAAAACACCUAUUAUGGAUCUAAGAGUUUUAUGUAUGAUUUAUGUUAUAAAACAUAGUAAAAGAUAUGUACAUAGAAAAUGCCAGAAUUCCAAUUUAUAACUGAGGGAUGGAAUAGUAUUUAGUAAUCUUUUCCUUAUAUGUUGUUUUUAGCAUUUUUUUUAGAUAUAUAGUUUUUUUCGAUCUUAUAUGCAUCUAAUGUAUACUUUAGUAAAAAUAUUUAUAUAAAAAUUAGGGCUAAAACGAUCUCACCGAUCGAAGUAAUACUAAUACAGUAGCUUGAUUUGAUUUAACUAAUAAAUUGUGGGUGUGCUGUGCAUUAAUUCAUCAGCUGUCGAACGCCGACGUGUUCCCCGGCAACCACGACGAGGUGGACUUCGAGCUACUGGGCAACCGCCGUGGCCACGAGUGGCGCGUGCAGACCAACAUCUACGGCAACGGCAGCACCUCCCGCGGCCGCGAGGAGCGGUACCUCCUCCCCUUCGACCCCACCCUCCGGCCGCACGCCUACGCCGUCGCCUGGACCCCCACGGCCAUCCUCUUCUACGUCGACGGGACGCCCAUCCGCGAGGUGGUCCGCGUUCCGGCCAUGGGCGGCGACUUCCCGUCCAAGCCCAUGUCCGUGUACGCCACCAUCUGGGACGGCUCCGCCUGGGCCACCGAGGGCGGACGCUACAAGGUCGACUACGCCUUCGCGCCCUUCGCCGCCGACUUCUCCUCGCUCGUCCUCAGCGGCUGCGGCCCCGUCGCCGCCGCCGACGACGACGACGACGCCGAGUGCCAGGUCGCCGCGAUGACGGCGGACUGCGCCGUCAUGACCCCCGCCAAGCGCGCCGCCAUGCGGCGCUUCCGCCGGCGGUACCUCCUCUACACGGUGUGCCACGACAUGUACCGCUACAACGGCACCGUCUUCCCCGAGUGCGACGCCGACGACUCGGAACGCCACGACUUCCACAGGUGGGGCGAGUCCAAGCGCGUGUCGCCCAGCAGCCGCGGGUACAAGCAGCCGCGCGCGGACAAGGCCGCCGCCGUCGACGUCGCCGUCGCCGCGCCUGGACGGCCCGACACGUGGCCGGUCAUUGGAACGUUACGUGUCGACUAAUAAUUGGGUUUAUACUACACGAGUAGAGAUACGUCCAGGAUACAAAUCUCAUAUAGCUAGGUACAGUUACAUGGUGCUACUCCAUGGACACACAUAGGGCCUGUUUGGAUCGUAGGAUUUGUAAAGGAAAAGUACAGGAAUCAAGAUUCCUCUAUUUUAUGCACUGUUCAUGCGUUUGGAACACAGGAUUGAGUAUAUCCUUUCCUAUGGAAAGUUUCCUUCACCCAUGCAUUUUGAAGGAAUCAAAACAUCCAGUCUAGGCCAUUGGAAAUUUUCCUGCGACAAUGAUACGCAUCUGUCUAAGCUCGAACACUAUUGCCAUGCAUCAGUGACAAAAGGAACAGGACACAAGAGCCGAGGAAACAUUUUUUAUCUAUUCACGUCACUUGUGUUCUUGCCAUGCACCAACUCCAGAACUUUGAUCUACGAUCUACGCUUCAGACCUCCAUUGUUGAGUUAAUGACCUACCAAAGCUAAUCUCAAGCUACCAAGUUUAGCAAGACAGGCACAUCAUUAGUCCAAAUAAAAUGAUAUUCUUAUGCUACCUUAUUCCUGCAUUCCAAACACUCAUUACUGUAAAAUUCCUGUGUUUUUCAAUUCCUCUGUUUUACCACCACAUUCCUUUCCUAAUCCUGUAUUUUCUCCUAUUCCUACAUUUUUUAUUCCUCCGUUCCAAACAGGCCCGACAUAGAUAGAGAUUCCAUAUAUAUGUACACUUUACUUUUUUUUAAGUCUAAUAAUAUAUAGUAUCUUCUAAUUUUAUUUGUACUAGCAGUGUCCGUAGUCAGGCAGUGCAAUGCAACAAAGCUGCUAAGUUCAUAGCAACAUCAGUUAAUUAGAUUAUGUUUGGCAUAGCUUAGCUUCGCUAGUGAAACUAUUUGUUUGGUUUCAACUUAAUUGGUAAAAACAGAGCUAUGUUCGUGAUUCCAUUUAGCAAAACAACUUUACAUAGUAGACAUCGGGGUUGAUUAAAAGCCACUGGAUUCUGCAAUGAGAAAAUUCCAAGCAUCGGUGGUUCCUCGGCGUGAUGACACGCGUCUUCAUAACUUUUACAGAAAGACCCUUUGUCUUUAAGGUAACUAACCCGCGGUCCAACAUGUCGUUUCUACACAGCAAUCAGGUUUGGAUAUUUUAUGUACGGGACCUUUUGUAACUUUUAUUUCAACACAAAGAAGAAAAUUUGGCAACCUCACCGUUUUGCAAACCACCCCCUGAAAGCAACAAGGAGAGCCCCUACAGCCAACCCUACCGCAGUUUUGUUUCUCGGUCUCUCUCCCCUCUCCCCAUCCUUACCGCCGCCGCCACCUCUCCCCUCCAUGCCCUCUCCUCCGCACGCCGCCUCCAUGGCUCUCCCCUCCCUGCCCUCUCCUCCCCGAGUUGCCUCCAAGCUGGCAUGAGCAUACCUCCUUUGCGUGACGACUUGACGAGCAGCGGUCCCCGUCCUUACCGCCGCCGCCACCUCUCCCCUCCAUGCCCUCUCCUCCGCACGCCGCCUCCAUGGCUCUCCCCUCCCUGCCCUCUCCUCCCCGAGUUGCCUCCAAGCCGGCAUGAGCAGACCUCCUUUGCGUGACGACUUGACGAGCAGCGGGGGAAAAUCGGAGAGGAGGAGGUGUCCACGGAUACCGCGUGCGGAGGACCGGAGGAUGCUUCCUUACUCCCGAAGAUCCCCAUGCUCUCCGGAUCUGAGCUCACAUCAAACAGAUCCAGCCUCGACGACCAUCGAUCUGGCUGGCCUGUAGAAGCCCGUGGUGUGCGCGCAGCAAGCUCCACGAAGCAAGUGAGUGGGGGCUGAGCUCGAGCUCCUGGAUUCACCUUUCUUCUAUAUUUCUUUUUUAUGUGUACACUGGGAUCUAUGGCAGCUAGAUGUUUACCUUGCUUCUACUAAUAUUUUUUUCAUAUGCAUAUAGAGCUCUGGCCAGGUAAUAUUCGAUCUUGACCAUGUACCAUGUUGUACUGAAAUUGAUAAUUUAUUAAUUCCUCCUAAUAUUAUUUGUAUUAGGAAGUUAAGAAUAAUUUUAUAUGAAUGGAUACAAACAAAAAUUUCAAAUGACAAGAUGAUUAGGUGAAAAGAACCCAUUUUUACUAAAAAUUUCACACGUUCAGCGAAGAUAUGGUGGUAAUUUUUCUAGGAUAAUUGGAUAUUUAUAGUUAAGAUUAGCCAUCCCCAUUGUGACACAUUACCUCUAUUGAUUAAAAUCCUGUUUUUGUAUUGGAUGUUGAUGAUUGUUUACUUUGCAGAAUCAUCAAGGCAACCUAGGAGGCAUCUCCUUCAGAGCUGUUAGAGUGUGUUUGUUAGUUCAAGAAGGUAGCAGCUUUCACAGAGAUUGUUCUCUUCUCUAGCAAGAAAGCUGGAUGUGCUGUUACUCAGCUCAUCUUGUGAAGCAUACUUAUAUUAUUAAAUUGUUAUUAAAUGAGCUUUUCAGUGGAUGAAUUCUUUGGUUAACAUUAGUAUGGUUUUGAUUGUUAGGAACACAAUCUAAACCAUGUAAUAUUUUUUAUUUUAGCAACAUAUAUUUGUCUUUCUCAAAUCAGUACAUAGAUUACAGUUUCAUCUAAUGGUUGCAUAGUUGCAUUUUGAUUAAAGUUAAACAUGGACCAGUUAUACAUACUUUUCUACUAACUAAUAAACACAACAAAUGAUUUGAAUAACUAAACUAAGGCCGCCAGUCAAAUAACAAGAAUGGAGCCACAAAAUUUAUUGUUCUUUUAAAUAAUAAAUAUCCAGUAUCGGGCUUUGUAAUAGUUUUCCUCCCGAUUUAAGCUGAACAUAGUUGCAUGCAUCUGAAUCGGCUUGGCUUGCUGCUAUGGGUUAGUCUGAUUAGGUAUCUUGAUCAUGGUCAUGUGUUAUAUGUAUUGUAAAUACAUGAGUUUGGUAAAUUUCAGGGCACUCCUAGCUGCAGAAAAAGAAUAUGUUUUUGCAUUGCGCUACUAGCCAAAGACGAGGUUGGUCUCUUUGCUUCAUAGAGCUUUUUUUUGCUCUUGUAGUGUUGUCUAUUUGGAGUAGAAUGAACCUGAAGUUAUAGCCUUUUUCCUCGUGAAGUUCAGAAUGUUCAGCUUGGCUUGCUAUUUUUGGUCAGUGCCAUAUAAUUUUGACUAUAUUUUCUUUUGUCAAAAAGAUCUGUCAGUAGAACAUCAUUAGUUUCUGCACAUAUCCUUGCACAUGUUUCCACCCAUUUGAACCAAAGUUAGUUGUGGUCUUGGUUAGGAUAGUAUGACAUAAAUCUCUUAGCACAUGUUUCCACCCGUUUGAACCAAAGUUGGUUGUGAUCUUGGUUAGGAUAUAGUAUGACUUAAAUCUCUAAUGCUAUUGAACCAACGAUGCAUCAUGAUUGUAUAUACUUCAGUAAUCAGAUUAUGUAUCUUGAUCUUGGACAUAUACUUUACAUGUCCUUAAUGAGCUUGAUAGUUUCCAUGAUACUCCUAGCUGCAGACAGAGGAUGUAUGGCCUCCAGGCUGUAUAGCCGCCAUAUGGGUCUCACUGAUGCUGUUUUUGUUCGCAAUAGAGUAGAGUGACCGUGCCUCCCAAUUCUACUAGAACAAGAGGCAUCAUUUGAUCUAUGAAUUACCAGAAUGAGAUGGCUAUAGUGUAUGACCCUCAUGAUCUAUUUGUGACCUUCAUGUGUGAAAUUAAUGUGGUUGUUCUCACUAAUGAUGGCAUGUCCUUAUGUGUUGCUUAGUGGAGUAUUUGAGUUUGGAAAAUUUUGAUUCUAGGAAAGAAAGGUUUUCCUAUGUGUUCAAACCAGAUACAACAAAGCUUAUAUAUCAAAGUAAUGCUUAAAUCUUAAUGUUACUAUGUAACUAAAAAGUCAUACUUAUUAAGUAUUGACAAUAACUUUUGUUCUUAAAGUCAUUGUAGGGCGCCGGAAGGGCGCCAAAUGUUCUAGUGGAUUAUAAAGUGUCAAAAGCACCAUUGUUUUUUCUUCUUUCUUUCUUUCCUUCUUCUCCCUGUGCCUCUGUUCUUGAGAUGAAGGCUGCGCUCGUCCAUGCCGACGCUUGUGCCUGGGGAAAAUCCUGUAUAAGGCCUUGUUUAGUUCCUGAAGGAAAAAAUUAAAUCACACUGUAACACUUUCGUUUGUUUGUGGUAAUUAUUGUCUAAAUAUGGACUAACUAGGUUCAAAAAAUUCGUCUCGUCAAUUCCGACCAAACUGUGUAAUUAGUUUUUAUUUUUGUUUAUAUUUAAUACUCCAUGCAUGCAUUUAAAGAUUCGAUGUGACGGGGAAUCUUGAAAAAUUUUGGGUUUUUGGACGGGAGUAAACAAGGCCUAAAUCGACCCUAUAGCAAUGGAAAAAAAAAGAAUAUCGUGGCAACAACUACCAUUUGCCACAUUGUCACUUUCGUUGCGGGCCGUUAACAUAAAAACGAGUGGUGAAAGGUCUUUGUAACGGGUUUGCGUUUUGUUGAAAGUACCGUGCUAAUUGCAAUGUAAUUUUUGCCUUGAAAUUGAUUGGUGUUGCAACGGAUCGCAUAGUGGCAAUAUUGUAUAUUGCGACAGUAGAAGCAUUGCAACAAGCUUUUGUUUUUACCACACAUAUAUUUCGUGGCAGUAAAAGCUACUGUCAUGCAUAUAUAUCGUGGCAGUAGGAGUUAUUACCCCACACACACAUUGGUUUAUUGCAUUAGAUCAUUUCGCAACGCCAUUUGCUUAGUGGUAAUAUGCAUUGUAUAUCCAUUAAGUCUAAUUAAACCGGAUAAUCUUAUAAACUAUGGCAUGGGGGGUGUUUGGCACUGCUCUGCUCCACGUUUUUCAGCUCCGCUCCACGUUUUUUAGCCAAACGGUUUCAGCUUCACGCACUCAGUUCGAGAAAAAAAUGUGGAGUUGUGAGAGCACCUAAAGAGAUACUCCACAAACUCUAGUUUUUUGUGAAGCUGCUCCAUGGUGGAGUUUGUGGAGCAGUCCUAAACACCCCUAUAAUCUUGUAAAUAGCAUUCUAUUUAAACAAGAUAUAUAGACAUGAAACUGUGCAUAGUAUCUUUUUUAGCCUACAAACUAACAUUCAAAGAAUGGUGUAAAUCUAAGUUUAAAACAUCGCCUAAUCUUCAGACUACAACAGCAAAGACAAUCAAAUCUUAAUUCCAAUGGAUCAAUUUCACUUACCGUGCUUUUUCCCUUAUCGUGGACGGAACUAAUCACCGAGAGAGCGUCUCUUCACUUUACAACUGCUCUUUGUUUACUUCCCAAAAAAUUUUGCAAAAUUUUUUUUAGACGUGUGCAUAAAGUAUUAAAUAUAGACGAAAAUAAAACUAAUUGCAUAGUUUGGUCGAAAUUGAUGAGACAAAUCUUUUGAGCCUAGUUAGUGCAUGAGUCAAAUACAAACGAAAGUGCUACAGUACCUGAUUUGCAAAAAUUUUUGGAACUAAACAAGGCCCUGGGCCAUAAGCGCGUGGGCUUCUCAAGUCCUCAUCACGUGAACGGGCCCAAAAGGUCCAACAGCGGUAACUCUUCAGCGGUUCGGCCUUCACUCGUCCGCACUCCGCAGCGGUCUUCUUCCUCCGUCUGAGACUGCGCUCGCACAAAAACCAGAGCUGCAGAGGUCGACCAUGGCUGCCAGGUCUGGGCGCGUCGGGAGAGGGGACGGGGUCUCGCCGGAGGAGAGGCCGCCAUACCUCGCCAUGUUGGUGGAUCCUCCCCUGCCCCUCCUUGCCCUCACCCGCCAAGGCUUCCGACCCCGCCCACGGCUCGCAAUCGCACCCUCGACGAAGUUCCUGCUGGGGUCGACGCCGCCCACCCCUGCCGGAGCCGCGGCCGCCCACUCCUGCCGAAGAUCUCAGAUGCGAGGUAGAAAAAAAGGUAAUCGCUCGACCUAGCAAGCUUGAUCCUUACUCAUCGUAUAUAUGCAAUUAUGCAUAUAGCGAAAUAGGAUUGUCAUUUUAGCGAAGCCAUUUGUUUGGAGUCCCAUUAUAGCAAUUUUCUCACGGAAGGAAAUCGUAUAUGCUGUGGUUAAAUUAGAUAAAUCCGCGUCAUAGUGCCACCAGCCAAUAAGAAUUCAGUGUUUUCCUACACCAAUCCGCGGCACAUCCUAAUCAGAGCCGCCCGAUGAACGAUCAUGCAGGAACCGACCUGAGUCCGUCGUGCGUCUCUCGCGUACGUGCCUAUAUAAAUAGCGCCCCCUUCCCCCCGGCAAAUUACAUCACGGGCUCACGAGGCUGAAGAGGGACCUAUAGCUCUACGACUACAAGGGCAUCAUCAGUAGCGUAGCAGUUGCUAGCAGACACCAUCUGUGAGAGGUAACUAAAUAGACCCAUCCCCUUCGUGUUAACUUAUUCUACUGAUUACUACUUUGAUCCAUCUUCUUCAUUCGUGUUUGCUUAUUCUACUUAUUAAUUACUAGCUGUGCUUGGACGACCUUGGUUGUUGCUAUUAUAACGAGUAUAUAUGUGUUUCUAGGGUUUUAUGGUGUGAAAUUAUGGAUUGCAAACUCUAAUAUGAUUACGCUAGAGAGUAAUCUAUAUAUCCCCACUCUGCUCAGGGUUAUUUAUUCAUCAUUUUUUGUUGUUGAUAAAUUUCGUUGCAUGAGUACCAAGUGCACAUGAUUUUGUUUGCACUUUUCAGUUCUGUUCUCUUGACCCUGUAUCUGUAUAUACAUGUUUCUGUGUACUGUUAUACCCUGAUAUUGUAACAGAGGAGACGGCAACUCAAUAAUAAUUAGUGUUCCUUUAGUAUUCAGGUGAUGAAUAAUUAGGUUUCUGCUCAAUAAUGCUCGAAACAUCAUGCUGAUUGGCCUUUAUUUGCACUGUGUAGUUCCCACAUCUCAAUUCAUACAUCUGUCUUUAUCUGCAUAGGUGUUCUCAAUUUAUUUUUCCUAUACUAUUACAUUACAUGACUCAGUUAAUGCUAGUGUGUGACAGUAUGUAGUUCUGUGCACAUUUCAAUUUGAUGCAGGAUACUUCUGUCAAUAUAUGAUACAUACUUAUUUACAUUCCUCGGGUUUUAUCUUUUACAUGAUCGGUCAUCAAUUACAAGAUGGCUCGUACUAAGUGCACGGCGCGUAAGUCGACUGGGGGAAAGGCACCAAGGAAGCAACUCGUUCGAAAUAUCUUUGUAUGUAUAAUAUAUGUAAAAUUUGCAUGAGAAGUAUCAUCAGUACUUGCGUGUCGAAACUUGUUCUAACAUUAGUAUGGCUUGGUGAUCAUUUACAGGCUGCUGCUCGCAAGACGCCAAUGACCGGAGGAGUGAAGAAACCUCGCCGUUACCGCCCUGGAACCGUAGCUCUUCGGUACGUGCACGUGCAACACAGCUGGCUGAUUUUGUUUUAUUUAUGUUUGCCAAUCAAUACGAUUGUACGGCUGUAAUUUUCAUGCAAGUAAUCGUGUCAUAACUCAUCACAACUGAAUCUGAACCUCGCAUUUAUUUUCUUCCAGUGAAAUCCGCAAGUAUCAGAAGGGCGCCGAGCUGCUCAUCAGGAAGAUGCCCUUCCAGAGGGUCGUCAGGGAGAUUGCCCAGCUUCACAAGGUACGGUCGUUGCCAAUUUGAUCACCACAUGCAGGAUCGAUCUGCAAUUUGUCCUUGGGUUUUUCUUUCGAAACAUUUGUAAUAUCUGAAUGCAACUUCAUGUAUAUGCAUUGCAGAGUGACCUGCGUUUCCAGAGCCAUGCGAUCCUUGCUCUGCAGGAGGCAGCAGAGGCCUAUCUCGUGGGUCUCUUCGAGGACACCAACCUGUGUGCCAUCCAUGCCAAGCGGGUCACCAUCAUGCCCAAAGAUGUUCAUCUGGCUACCAGGAUCCGUGGCGAGAGGCACUAAUCGUAUCGCGUCGUGAAUAAGUGGAGGCGCCGACAAUCUGCUGGCUGCUGCAUACUAGUAGUAGUUCAUUUGGGAAUUCCUGGUCUGGACUUUGUCGGGAAGCAAGUGUUACCUUAAGUUCGAGUCAAAAAUUCUACAUGUCGAAUAACUAGCCAGACAGCCAGUUAGUGGGUAGCCUCCUCCGCUAGGUUUUCUUUUGCUGGUGUAAGACACAAGUUCUACGUAACUGAAGUUAUGUCAGACACAUUUUUCUGCUUGUUUACCUGGCUGUUAUUUUUUUUUUUACGUAACUGCAGAUAUAUCAGUCACAAGUUUCUACUUGCUUUCCCGGAUGUUGAAUUUCUUUUGACCAAGUCGUGAUACAAGAAACAAUGUAUAGGCAAGGCCAGCUUUUGGAUCCAAAUGAAGAGAAAUCGCCACAUAAUGUUAUUUUUUUAGUUCAACACAUUGUUAAUUCUGCCUCCUCGUUUUCCUCCGUUGGGACCUAUAAUUUGAUUGUAAGCAAAUAGUUGUUUGAUUGAUAGCUUAAAUUGUGGUCCUUUUUUUUUUCUCUCCUGUUGUUCUAAGCCAUAAUUUCAUAGUCCUUCAUGUCGUGCUCGUGCAAUGCAUUUAUUUAUGAUAUUGUUGUGGCAGCCAAAUUGCAGAGACACCGCUUUCAUCAAUGGUUCCCUUGGGUGGCAAGUUCAGGCCUUCAAUUGUGUCCUGUUGUUCUAUUAUCUUGACUUCAAUUGUGGGCGUUCCAAGUUCUGAGAACCAUGUUUCAAAAAAAAAAAAGUUCUGAGAACCAUGCACACAAAGGAAAGGCCAGUACCCAGUAGAAGCAGCCCUGCCCACAAGAGCAAGACGGGCGAUGCCGGCCCAACCCAACCCAACCCAGCAGCAACAAACCACGCAACGGCUAGUACGGAGGGAGUGGGGGCAAGCAGAAGCAGCGCCGUUCCGCCUUCGCCGUCUCCUCGUCAACGGUCAUAUUACCGUUGUCCUGCCACAAUCCCCACACUUUAAAACUGCCACCCCAAGCGCUCCCCCUCCCGCCGCCGUCUCCACCCCCGAUUCCCCGUCUCUCCGGCUCCCUCGCCCUCACACGCCGUCUCUUUCCUCGAGCCUCCGCUCCGCUAGCGACGCCGACGCGCGCCUCUCUCACCCGCGUCGACGAGAAAGCACCCACCGAUGGAGACGCCGCUGUCCACCAGGAGGAUCACCCGCUCGCUCGCCGCCGCCGCCGCCGCAUCCGCCCGUGAGUCCUCUUCUUCUUCUCCCAGCCACCUCGCCUCUCUGUUUCUUGAUCGCCGGUUCGAUUCUUCAGUCUCGACGUGUUUCUUGGAUGUGUUUCCUGACGACGCCCACCUUCGAUUCUUCUUCUCCGCAGAGAAGAGCGCCGCCGCCGCCGGGUCGGACUCCGCCGCCCUCUUCUCCCGGGCCAAGAAGACCGCCGCGGUGGAGACCCAGGCCCAGACGCGCGCCGCCCUGCACGACAUCAGCAACGACUCCCCCAUCGUCGGCCUCGCGGCGGGCGGCCUCCACGCCACCGACACCACCCCCGCCUCCACCGCCGCCAAGACCCGCCGCAGGGCCCCGCGCAGCACGCCCGGAUCCGGGGAGGCGCUCCUGCGCGGCCAGGUCAAGGCGCUCCUGCACAAGGUCGAUGAGGACCAGGGCUGCGCCGCCGCCGCCGCCCUCGUCAGGCCCGCGCGCAUCCAGGCGCUGCUCGGCGUCUCCAGGUCCCCGGCUCAGCUUCUUGCGCCCACCCCGGCCAACACGCCGCAGAUCGGCCCCGUCUCCGCGCCCAGGGAAGGCCUCCUCCAGCUUGAUGGCGCCGCCGCCGUGACCUGCGUCCUCGACGAAGAGGAACCGCUGAUUCCUAAGCUGAAGGUAAUGUAAUUGUUGAUUCUUGUCGAUUCAGCAAUGGAUGAUAUCUUCCUACUGUUCGAGGAGCAACAGUCUACAAUUCGACAUGCAUGGUAGAGUUUUGACCCCAAUUUUUCUGUUCUGAGUAGUGGAUUUCCAAUUUCAAUCAGGGAACGCAUGAUCUUCUUGUCAAUCUGAUGCAGAAGCUUGUGUACCAUUUCGUCUAGUAUCUUUAUUCGUUAACGUUCUUUGUGCACGUACAUGCUAGUUUAGGUGCAAUUCUGCACGAACUUUUGUAUGAUAAGUUUGAUUCAAUGGUUCUCUGUGUCGGCUGUCGUAGGUGUCAGCUUGUAAUCUUGAUAUAUGAUUCAAAUUUCUGUGUGUUUUCAUGCUGCAUUGUCUUGCACUGUUAGCUGCAUAUGGCCCGUUCUCAAAUCUCAAUGGAAUGCUAGCUCUUUCAGAACUGCAAAUUGAUGUAGUAUCGUCUAGUAGAGCAGCAAGUAGUAAUCUUGAUAUAUGAUUGAAUUUUCCUUCAGCUGGUUGUGCAGUCGCUACUGAAUUUGGUCCUAAGGUGCUUUGCUGCUCCCCUUGUUGUGCAGGUCAUUGCAGCUUCCCUGCCUCCACCUCAGGCAGAGGAGAAGCUGGGCGAGUGCCAGCUGAACCGUGCGCUGGUGUUCGACGACUCCCCUGAGAAGUCCGACGAGUCCAAUGGAUCAGCCGUCUCGUCGUCCGUCUCCCUCCAGGAGAGCAGCGCCGGCAGCUACAUGGACAAGUCAUCGUCACCUGACGACGACAGCUCCUCUGCUUGGUCCAUUCAGGUCCAUGCCAGCUCCGAGAAGGGCGACGAAGAAGAGCUUAGCGUGGAGGAGCUGGCGGCAGCAGAGUACACUGAAGAAGAAGAAGAAGAAGAAGAGGAGUACACUGAGGAGGAGGACUGGGAAGAAGACAGCGACGACGACUGCUACGACGACCUGUGCGAGGAGAUGAGCAGGAUGACCGUGUUGGACGAAGAAGAGAAGAAGGCCGCCGGGCUGCCGCAGUUCGAGGGGAAGCACACCAGGUUCAUCUACAACAGUGACGACGAGAUCGAGCGCGAGGAGGUGGCCGACGCAGCUGAGGCGACGGCGGAGCUUGGCGCGUUGAUGCUCAGGGGGCUGCCGGUGCCGAAGGGGAGGCACCUGCUCUUCCACGACGAGGAGGAUGACGAGGAAUAAGAAUGUCAGUUGUGUUCAGGUUAUUGGGUUGCAUGCAGUGGUUGUCUUUCCCUGACACCAGCCAAAUUGAUGCUCAGGGGGCUGCCGGUGCCGAAGGGGAGGCACCUGCUCUUCCACGACGAGGAGGAUGACGAGGAAUAAGAAUGUCAGUUGUGUUCAGGUUAUUGGGUUGCAUGCAGUGGUUGUCUUUCCCUGACACCAGCCAAAAUUCUUUUGGGGGCUUCCGGUUCUGUAUUUUGAAUUCAUGUCUCCG
rnacentral:lncRNA from 1 species